CUUCCACGCUGUGGAAGUUUUGUUCUUUCGCUCUUUGCAAUAAAUCUUGCUACUGCUCACUCUCUGGGUCUACGCUGCUUUUAUGAGCUGUAACACUCACUGCGAAGAUCUGCAGCUUCACUCCUGAGCCAAGCCAGACCACGAGCCCACCGAGAGGAACGAACAACUCCAGACGCGCUGCCUUAAGAGCUGUAACACUCACUGCGAAGGUCUGCAGCUUUACUCCUGAGCCAGCGAGACCAGGAACCCACCAGAAGGAAGAAACUCCGAACACAUCUGAACAUCAGAAGGGACAGACUCCAGACACGCCACCUUAAGAGCCGAAACACUCACCUCGAGGGUCCACGGCUACAUUCUUGAAGUCAGUGAGACCAAGAACCCACCAAGUCCGGACACAGUAGUUUUUGCUUUUUUGAGGAAUUAGUUCUUUUUAUGUAAAUUAUCAGAUUUAUGUGUGUAGAGCUGUUUUGUUUCAAUCCUUUAUUAUCAUUUUGUUGUCAGCAAGGCUUGUAAUGAUAUCCACUGUUUCUUUCCUGACACUGGUGAUUAAUUUUCUGAUAAAUUGGUGAUAAGUAAUUUCAUUAUUUUCUUUCUCAAUAAUGCUAGAGGUUCAUCAAUUUUGAUUGUUUGUAAGAACCAUCUUUUUUAGGGGGAGGGGAUCUUACUCUGUUACCCAGGCUGGAGUGCAGUGGUGCAAUCACUGCUCACUGCAGCCUCAGUUUCCCAGGCUUAAGUGAUCCUCCUGCCUCGGCCUCCCGACUAGCUGGGACUACAGGUGUGAGCCACCGUGACUGGCCAGAACCAACUUUUUGCUUUGUUGGUUUUCUCUAUUCAAUUUUAUUGAUUUUUGCCAUUUGCUAUUUUAUUUCUUCUGUUUGAUUUGGGUUUCUUUUUUUUUUUUUUCCCUAAUAUCUUGAGUUGGGAGCUUAGAUGACCAAUUUGAUACUUUCCCUCUUGUCUACUGUAAGCAUUUUUGUGCUAUAAACUUCUCUCGAAGCACCGCUUUAGUUCCAUCCUACAAAAUUUGAUGUGUUGUGUUUUCUUUUUCAUUCAGUUCAAUGUAUUUUUGUUUUCCCCCAAGACUUUUUCUUUGACCUGUGGCUUAGUUAAAAGUGUAGUGUUCAGCUUCCAAGUAUCUGGAGAUUUUGUUCUUAUCUUCCUGUUAGUUAUUUCUAGUUGGAUUCCACUGUGGUCAGAGAACACCCUGUAUGGUUUCAAUUCUUUCAAGUUUGUUGAGGUUCUCUAGCCCAGGACAUGGUUUAUUUUAGUAUAUGUUCUGUGAAUGUUUGGAAAGAAUGUGUAUUUCGCUGUUGUUGGAUUAAAUGUCCUGUCAAUGUCAAUUAGACCUUGAUUGCUGGUGGUGUUGAAUUCUUCUAUCCUUGCUGAUUUUUUUUUUUGUCUAGUUGUUCUAACAAUAGUUGAGAGUAGUGCUGAUGUCCCAAACUGUAAUUGUCAGUUUAUGCGUUUCUCAUUUCAGUUCUGUCCAUUUUUCCUUCGCAUAUUCUGUAGUUCCGUUGUUUGGUGUGUACACAUUUGAGAUUGCCACAUCUUUUUGGUGGAGCGACUCUACUAUCAUUAUGUUCCUUUCCGUCCCUGCUAAUUAUCUUUGCUCUGUUCUUUAUCUGAUGCUACUAUAACCAUUCUUGCUUUCCUUUUAUUAAUAUUGACAUAGUAUAUCUUUUUUUUAAUCCUUUUCAACCUGUGUGUAUGAUAAUAUUUGAAGUAAUUUUGUUGUGGCUAUCAUUUAACUGGCUCAUUUAAAAAAUACAGUCUGUAAAUAUAAAUCCAUUAAUUGGUAUAUUUAGGCUAUUAAAUUUAAUGUAAUUAUUGUUAUGUUAGGACUUAGGUCUGCCAAUUCAUUUUUUUUGUCUUCUGUUUGUUUUUUGGUUUUUUGUUUUUCUGUUUCCUUUUUCUUGCCUACUUAUGGGUCACAUCAAUAUUUUUUUAGAAUCUCACUUUAUUUAUCUGUAAUGUUUUUGAGUGUGUCUCUUUGUAUAGAC
rnacentral:lncRNA from 10 species